UACGUAGGGGGCUAGCGUUGUCCGGAUUUAUUGGGCGUAAAGAGCGUGUAGGCGGCCAUGUAGGUCCGGUGUGAAAACUCGAGGCUUAACCUCGAGAUGUCAUCGGAAACCAUUUGGCUAGAGUCCGGAAGAGGAGAGUGGAAUUCCUGGUGUAGAGGUGAAAUUCGUAGAUAUUCGGAAGAACACCAGUGGCGAAGGCGGCUCACUGGCCCGGUACUGGCGCUGAAAUACGAAAGCGUGGGGAGCAAACAGG
rnacentral:rRNA from 1 species